rnacentral:tRNA from 1 species
AUUUAAAUAGCUUAUAUAAAGUAUAAUAUUGAAGAUAUUAAGAAAAUUGAAUAAUUUUUAAAUG